AUGGGGAAAAGGAAACCGAGAAGCUUUCAGUUCACUGAUCACAUCUGCCUUCCUCCUCUGCUGCAGAGAGAAGGAGGGUUGAUUCUGAACAGAGAGACAACUGUUGCUUCUAGGGUAAAAGCACUCAUGGGAGUCACCCAGAUGCCAGAUGCCACCGUAACCUCGGCAACCAUCCCAGCCUGAUGCUCUGGACAUGGCCUACAGUCAAUACCUCUCUCUCCUAACAUUAGGCAGGGACAACUCUACACCCAUUCUCAGCUCUGAAGAAGUUACAGAAGACUAAGACCAUUGCCCCUUUUCCCUUACAUAUUAGGAAAGGGGGGAGAUGACAUGGGCACUGUACCCCCCAGAAACCCAGGUGAACUAUUAUCAGGGAAACUCCCUUGCGUUUGCAUCCUAGAAACACACAAUGACCGCACUAGGGUCCUGAGAUGUUUAUCCUCUUUGAUAGUCCUCUAGAUUUAAGAUGGACAAAGAGAUGAAUCUUUAUGCCUCCAGGCAGACCCCAGUCAGAUGACCACCCCAUCCCACCAAACGCCUGAGGGCUUACCACUCUAAGUCACAUCGACACCAGUGUGAAAAUGGAGAUUUGAACUCUGGACUCCAAUUCCCAGGAGUCCUUGCUAGCUCCCAGAAUGCUCUCUAAUCUCACUGAGAUUUCCACCUAGGCAAGGUUAAAAUUUCUAUUUAACCUGGUCGGAGCACAUGUGGCUCUCCACCUAGCAGGCAAAAUGUGAGUGGUCAUGAAUAGGCUCUCUGGGCCUAGCACGUGCCUUUCUUACUUGUAUUUUCCUAAAUUCCUUAUCUUAAAUAGACCUCUAAAAAAUAUAAUACUUUUUGCAGAGAGAAACUAAUUUCUACCUGCCUCAGUUUCCCUAAAUUUUAAUAUAACAGUUGAAUUUUAAUUGUUACACCAGGAUAUAGCAUCUGUUGUAAAAAGUAUAAAAUCCCCAGAACUGAUAGCGUCUGGAGGACAGCCUUUUCCAUCCAUGCUGUCCUCAUGGAGGAGCCUUUCCAUUCAUGCUGUCCUCCCAGGAACUGCUCCCCAUCUUGCUGUCCUACCUUGCUAUCCUCCUGGCCAUUCUCAACAUUACUUUCUAAAUUAAUAAAUUUCUCUUUUUGUUUUUAAGCUAAGUUUUG
rnacentral:lncRNA from 1 species